rnacentral:lncRNA from 1 species
CUUUGAGAUGAGCCUGACUAGAUAGCACAUACUGUGAUUUUACAGGAUAAAGAAUUGUACGCUGGACAUGUAACUUUCAAGUUGGCUUUUCCCUUGGGCUUAGAAUCAAUUACUGUAGUGUUUGAAAUGAAGGAUGUAUAAUUAUCUGGAGGUUUAACCAAGGUUCUUUGCAUAUUAGAAAGUACUUAGUAGGACCAACCCUGUUUCCCCCUUUGGUUUGUUUAGAAGACUUGCACUAUCUGCCAGAUGCUGCUUCCUAACCAGUGCAGUUAUGCAUCACACCAGAGAAUCCAUCAGCACAAAUCUCCCUACACCUGCCCUGAGUGUGGGGCCAUCUGCAGGUCGGUGCACUUCCAGACCCACGUCACCAAGAACUGUCUGCACUACACGAGGAGAGUUGGUUUUCGAAUAAUAUAUAAGUGUUCCAUGUGCGACACUGUGUUCACCCUGCAAACCUUGCUGUAUCGCCACUUUGACCAACACAUUGAAAACCAGAAGGUGUCUGUUUUCAAGUGUCCAGACUGUUCUCUUUU